rnacentral:rRNA from 1 species
UGAACGCUCGCGGCGUGCCUAAUACAUGCAAGUCGAGCGAACAGACGAGGAGCUUGCUCCUCUGACGUUAGCGGCGGACGGGUGAGUAACACGUGGAUAACCUACCUAUAAGACUGGGAUAACUUCGGGAAACCGGAGCUAAUACCGGAUAAUAUAUUGAACCGCAUGGUUCAAUAGUGAAAGACGGUUUUGCUGUCACUUAUAGAUGGAUCCGCGCCGCAUUAGCUAGUUGGUAAGGUAACGGCUUACCAAGGCAACGAUGCGUAGCCGACCUGAGAGGGUGAUCGGCCACACUGGAACUGAGACACGGUCCAGACUCCUACGGGAGGCAGCAGUAGGGAAUCUUCCGCAAUGGGCGAAAGCCUGACGGAGCAACGCCGCGUGAGUGAUGAAGGUCUUCGGAUCGUAAAACUCUGUUAUUAGGGAAGAACAAAUGUGUAAGUAACUAUGCACGUCUUGACGGUACCUAAUCAGAAAGCCACGGCUAACUACGUG